AUAGGAAGCUGUAGCACUUUAAAUUGCAGCUCCCGAUGGAAACAUCGGGAUGAAAAUCGGGUUAAUUCGGGGAAGCCUUUAAAAUGGUAAUCCCGAGCUAAAUUUCUCGAGAGAGAAUAAAUGUGUAGAGACUAUACGCCCGGAGCCUAACUCGAAAGAUAUGGCUAAGAGAUAGUCCACGCCUUAAUGAAAAUUAAGG
rnacentral:ncRNA from 1 species